rnacentral:lncRNA from 1 species
GAAAACAGAAGAAACCAAUACAAAACAUUUCCAGAUGAAUGGUUUUGUGUCCUGUCUAAGAAGCCAGAAAGUCUAUGCAUCCCAUCUGAGAAGCUACUGGUCUUCUCAUCAGCCAGCCUGGGCAUCUAUUCAAAUGUAUAUGUAUUUAAUUUUCUCACAUGCACUGGAGGAAUCUCAGCUGGAAAAAUCAGCCAGACAACUCCCCCUGUGUCCGAAUCAGCAGCACAAGGAUUUGUGGUUAUCAAAGAAAACUUGCCCUUAAUUUUUAACAUUUAAGAAUCUGCUGGCUUUGCUGUUCUGUGGUUAGCUGAUUGUCUGUGUUUGCAUGCAGGAAUCUUUGUUCUUGUGCUGUGUCUCGGGAAUGCCAUGAGCAGUUGUUUUUGUUUGUUUGUACUCGGGUGGAGCUAACUGUCUAAUUGGGUAAAUAUUUGCAAUGCUAUAUUUGCAUGCACGGAAGACAAAGAGGGCUGGACUCCUGUUGACAUAAAGGGCCUUUUACACCAGGCCAACAAUGUAAAGGCUUAAAUAAAAUCGAUGGACUAUUUUCCAAUAUGAUUACGGCAAUGAAGACGUUACUCACUCUGCCUUACUCACUGAUUGCAAGUUCAAAACUGCUGGACUUCCACUGGGUAUUAGCUCUGUUAAAAAAAUGGUAUUUAUUUACCAGAGUGCCUUUGGAUAUAAGAGGUCCACAGUUCCAAGGAAUAGAUUUUCAACAUAAAAUUACACACCAAGAGCAAAUACAACAAACCCUAAUAUCAGUAUCAGUGUCACUAGUGACCUAGUCUGCUGAGCAAGUCACUGGAAAUCCUGUUUUCCUGGCUGUACUCAAAACACGUCUGUUUCUGGUCAGUGAAGACGCAAGCACUGUUCCUGGUCUGAACAGAACCACAGCCUGCUCCCAGGGAUGCUGGUGAAGAUUAGCAGUGAACUGGGACUCUUACCCAAACAUCUUAGCCAUUAUGGUUGUCUUUGUGCUCUAUAAAUCAGAUGCAUGUGAACAAACACCCUACUGAGAGGGUAUUUCUGUAAGAAUAAAUGCAUGGCUGAUAUUAAGU